UACUGUAUCUGAGUGUUUUCUCUCUUUUAAACCUUUCUGAUAAAAAUGUUCAGUUUCUGAAUUCCUACUUUUUUUGCAGCAGCAGGAGGAACAUAUAAUAUUUUGUAUUUGCACCUGUAGGGGGCAGCAGCUGCUUGUUUUUGACAAGGAUUCAUGAAACUAUGAAAUCUAACAGCUGAAGUGUGUUUAUGCAAAUUCACCCUGUUAUUAAAAACAGCCUCUUGCAGUUUGAAGUUUGUGUCACACGACUGAAUCAAAGAGCAUGAUGAUGGGGCUGAGGGUCACUCAGUACUACAUCUUUGUUAUAAUGUUAACCAAAGGUGUCAGCAGUGAUGAGAUCAGACUGGACCAGUCUCCUGCUGUUGUAAAGAGACCUGGAGAAACUGUGAAGAUCUCCUGUAAGAUACACGGAUAUUCAAUGACAAGCAGCUACAUACACUGGAUCAGACAGAAAACAGGGAAAGCUCUGGAAUGGCUUGGCGAGAUGAGUACAGGUAAUAAUGCAGCAAUAUAUGCAGAGUCUGUGAAGAACCAGCUCACUUUAACAGAAGACGUCUCAGCAAGCACACAGUACUUAGAGGCCAAGAGUCUGAGGACAGAGGACACUGCGGUUUAUUACUGCGCCCGAGACCCAACAGUGACUGAAGCUGAGGAAGCAGCUGUACUAAAACCAGACACACAUUGUAACUGAACUAACUGAAGUUGCUUAAAUUAUAAUUGUAAGACAGAUGAACACGGUUUGUAUCUAUUUAUUGCUCCAAUUAUCUAUACUGUAAAUGUACCUGGAUAUAACCCUAAAGUGGGCGUGGCCUAAAAUAAUUAUCAGGAAUGAAAAUCUAGAUAAACCCUGUUUCUAUGAUCCUGGAAACACU